CCUACGGGAGGCAGCAGUAAGGAAUCUUCCACAAUGGACGAAAGUCUGAUGGAGCAAUGCCGCGUGCAGGAUGACGGCCUUCGGGUUGUAAACUGCUUUUAUAUAGGAAGAUUAUGACGGUACUAUAUGAAUAAGGACCGGCUAACUACGUGCCAGCAGCCGCGGUAAUACGUAGGGUCCAAGCGUUAUCCGGAAUCACUGGGCGUAAAGCGUGCGUAGGUGGCGUGUUAAGUGAGAUGUUAAAGCGCGGGGCUCAACCCUGUCGUUGUAUCUCAUACUGGCAUGCUAGAGGACAGCAGAGGCAAGUGGAAUUUGUAGUGUAGCAGUGAAAUGCGUAGAUAUUACAAGGAACACCAAUGGCGAAGGCAGCUUGCUGGGCUACUCCUGACACUGAGGUACGAAAGCGUGGGGAGCGAACAGGAUUAGAUACCCUGGUAGUCCACGCCGUAAACGAUGCAUACUAGUUUUGUGGGGUAUCGACCCCCUGCGAAACGAAGCUAACGCGAUAAGUAUGCCGCCUGGGAAGUACGGCCGCAAGGCUAAAACUCAAAGGAAUUGACGG
rnacentral:rRNA from 1 species